rnacentral:lncRNA from 1 species
ACACAAAUCAUCAAUACCUUUGGGUGGGAUAAGAGUAGGAUACACAACAUUUGACUAAGAGGUAUCGAGAACAAGGGGUACAAUACCUAGACUUAUAAGAAAAGUCCAAAUAUUAUCUAAAGGGGUGUCCUCACUGUCAUCCAAUUCAUCAAAUUCUUCAAGUUUAGGUCUAUAGAUUUGAUUUUCUAAUCACUCAUCUCUCAUUUUCUUUUGUUCUUCAAUGAAUAAGGCUCGAUUAGAACAUUCAGAAGAGAUGUGGCCAAAGUCCUUAUAGUUGAAGUACUGCAAAUGAGAAGAAGUUAUUGAAGUUUCAAAAUCUUGACCUUCAUUGUCCAACAGAGGAGCAUUAGAUGGGCGAGGACCUAGAAGCGGCUUAACAGGAGAAGGUGGUGUUGAUGAGACGAAAGGGGGAAUGUCACUACGCCUUCGAUACGAAGAAGAAGGUCUUGGGAUAUCAUGACCUUUACAUUUAUUUUCCCAAAUGGGAUGAACAUUAGACGAGGAAGGCUCUAUGAUGGGCUUAUGACAAGGUGGCGCUAAUGACAUGGGUGAAUGAUGGUGAUCGCGCUUUUCAUAUAGAGUACUAAUAGUUAACUCAUAAUCUCUGGUUAAAGAAUAAGCGUGAUCAAGAAUAGUGACUCCUCGAAAGAAAAGCUCACGCAUAAGAUCAUCUCUUAGAGCUUGGCUAAACCUACUCAAAGUCGUGAUCUCAUCCUCAAUGACAUGACAUUUGGUUCAAAAUUCCUUUUCAUAUAGAGUACUAAUAGUUAACUCAUAAUCUCUGGUUAAAGAAUAAGCAUGAUCAAGAAUAGAGACUCCUCGAAAGAAAAGCUCACGCAUAAGAUCAUCUCUUAGAGCUUGGCUAAACCUACUCAAAGUCGUGAUCUCAUCCUCAAUGACAUGACAUUUGGUUCAAAAUUCCUCAAAUUGUGCAAUAUAGUCGGUCACUAACCGAUUCCCUUGUUUAAGAGCAGUCCAUUGAGUAUAAACUUCAAAAUCUAGGCAACCAUCAAAAGUAGGAAUGUCUAAUUUAUUGUCUCUAAAAGAACUUUCCUUAUGAUCGUAUUGAAAAUAUUUUUGAUCACCUUGUCGACGACAAUAUUGUUUAUUGUGGGACGCUUUAGAAUUAUGAACAUCAAUCGAAUGAGGGAUUAGCUUAAAAUUGUUCGGAUUAGCUUAAAAUUGUUCAGACUAGCAACUAGAUCUCUACUCUUUUGACGAGUAGCAGCUAUCUCGAUUUGGAAAACGGCUAAUUGAGUUUGUAAGUGUUGCUGGCUAGUGACAAGUUGAGCUAAUUGUCUAGUGAGUGCCUCAAAUUGUGAAGAGUCCGUGUCUAGGUACUGAAACGAGGAGUAACAAGACGACCAGUCGACCACUAUGCAUGCACUGUACUAGCAGCUAAAUGACGUGCAAUAGAGAGAGAUCAAUGAACAAUAAGUGCAAACAAUGAUAAGUAACAACUUGAGCAUUUUUUUUUUUUUUGAAAAUUAGAAUUUGUGGUUAUGUUAAUCCAAAUGUAACAAGCUAAUAAUGCUGAUUCGAAUAAAAUAAAAGGCAAGAAUACAAAUGACGAAUCAAAAUCUUUAACCCCGUGGGGUAAGCAGGGUAACGUAGGAAAUUAUUCAGUCAACAAUUCCAAUCAAGUGGUGUAAAGAUAAAAUUUAUGAUAUAACAGCAGCACAAAUUUUAAUUGAUGCAAUUUUUAAAAUAAAGUAGUAGUAUAAACCAAUAAUAAAAAGGGUUCAAGGACUCCCAGUUGUUUGGGUGUGACUAUCUGUAUGUCGAUUGAUCUGAAUUGCCGAUUUAAGAGCCCCAACUAUGCUUCUGUUCUUCCCUUCAUGUCCAAUGGUUUUAGCCCCUGUUGACUAUAACUUGUGCUGGUUUUGGUGUGGACGUAAAACUAAGUAUGGUGACUGUGGCUUUUAGAUUGUUGAGAUGGACGGGGAAAUAUAUGAGUACGGUAACUGUGGUGGAAGUGUAUGAUCUUGGGUUGGUAGUGGUGGCAUGUGGCGAUGAAGUAGUAGUGCGUUGGAUGCCUGGUUACAAUAGAUAAUGAAGUAGUAGUGUGGUGGUGAUUAGAGGCGGCGGCGACACGAGAGUGGUUGUGAGAGAGGAAUCGGGUGAAACUGUGGGACUAUUUGAUAUUAAUGGAUUGGUUAUAAUCGGGUUUGGUCGAAUAUGUGGGACUGGGCUAGAUAGGAAGGGGUUUGGAUCGUCUUAUAGAGAUGGGCCAGCUCAAGUUAGUGUUUUAGGAGUGGGCUUGUGUCGUAGAGAGUAGGUUGAGUUAAUUGGGCUAAACGAAAUUGGGUCUUGUGUAAGUACGAUUGAAUGCUAGGGUUGGAAUUUGUGGAACAAUACUACAAUUGUAGAGAAGAAACUGCAGCGAACGAGAUUUUUAUUUUUGUGGGNUUAAAAGACAUGGAAGAGUGUGGCUAUGUGAAAGAAACAGGUUUUGUUUGGCUCAAACAGAAGAAGAAAACUGAGCAUAAAUUUGAAAAAAUUGAUAAGAGUUGUUCAAUAUGCAACUGAGAUCACAGUCUAUGUUGAGCCAAACAAAAUCAAGAAACUUACUGGUGUCAAGACUGAGUAGCUAUUCAUUUGGAUGACUCCUAGUGACGUAUAUGUCAACGAUCCGCCUAACGGAAAAAUCACCUUCAAGACUCCGACUGGGCUAUCCCGGUGUUUUCCAGUGGAAGCUUUUGCGGUCGAGGAGGAGAUGGAGGAGGUUAACGAAGUUUAACAACAUGCUGAGGUAAAACCAGCUGUUGAAGUGAAGGAAGUGUAAUUUGGUGUUUUAUCUGUUCUUGUUCGCUCUAGUUCUACUAUGAUCAUGGUAUGAAUAAGUUAUAAAUUAGAAGUUUCAAAAUUUCCUUAUUAUUCUAAAAGACAGUAGACCAACAAUCUUUACGCAUACUGUGCAUUAGCAAGUUUCCUUACUUGAUACAGAAUAUAAAAGAGAUUUCAAAAUCUCUUCUUUUGUUCAAGAAACCCCAAAUUAAGACUCGUGAAGGAUAUCUUGGGUUAACUUCUUCCGGACAAUUUUCCCAAAAGAAUAACAUUGUUGUCACUGGCCUGAAGAAUGAGUUUUUCUAGGAGGUACAUGUUAUUAAAUUUUUAGCUACUUACAUAUAUAGGGUUAGUUCCCUUGGGAUUAUUUUCUUUCUAGUAGCAUCUGAGAAUGAGUUUUUCUGCUUCAGCCAAUACUGAUAGUGAUGUAGGACGAAUUAAAGAAUAGAAAGAAGAAGCAAGAAAGAGGGAAGAACCGAAGAAAAUGGGGGGGAAGAAAUCGGAGAACCAGCAGAAAUUCAUGGGGAAGAGGGGAAGGGAGAGGAAGGAGAAGCUAUAGGCAACAAAUCACCAAAAUAUUCUUCAAUUCAUCAAAAACUAAAGAAAAUUACCAGGCAAAUUAGGUUUAAAUAGUAAAAAUAAAACCAUAAGUAGAAUGAGCUUAAGCCAAUACAAGCCCAAUUACAUAAAUAGAAUCUAAAACAUAAAUAAAAUCCAAUUAGAAAUAAAUAAAAUAGAUGAUGUUUUUAUCAACUCUCCUGGGUGGGAGAAAAACUCAACCCUGUCGAGUUGAAAGAUCACUGUAGACUGUAAUCAAUCUGAAACUCCAAAUGCUUCAAGUCAAGCCAUGGGAGACGAUGUUUCUGACAAACCAAGUACCGAAAUUUCAUGAUUGAUAGUACUAAAAACUGUAGUUUAUUUCCAAGAAUAUGAUAUGGUCAAGGGGGGCGGUCUUUCCUUCUAACCAAGUACCGAUACUGGACUCCAAAUAAUCAAUAUUCAUGCACCUCACCUUCAAAAUUUUCACAUGAUUGUACAUAAUGAAGAGCAUAAGAAGCACGUUGAUCUACCCAAUAAACAAGAAAGUACUGAAUCCUGCCAUCAUUGAUCAAUACAACACAUUCAUCUAAAAUAACAUCAAUUUUAUCUUUGUGUGCCGUGACGGAUGGUAUUGAAGUAGAAAUAUCAAUAUAGUCAAGUUGGGGGCCCACAAAGCUAAGUAAAAAUGGAUCAUCAAGUGAAGUAAAAUGGUGUUUGCAAGUAAUGAAGUCCUCAAUAUUUAGAGUAGAAUGAUAGCCAAAAUGUGAUGACAGGUUAAUGACAUAUGUAUUUGAACCAACAUGCUUUAAAAUUUUACAAGGACCAGCAUUGCAUGCUUGUAAUAUAACAAAAUCCCUGAUAUGAAAUUCAAAAUUUCGCUUAUACAAAUCAGCUCGAAGUUUAUAUGAUGCAUUACUUGCUUCAAGUUAUUUAUUGAUUUCGAUAUGCAAGUCAUGAAGAUAAAAUACAAAUGUUUCAACUGACGACGACACACUAGCAUGCGGGGACAUGGGAAUAAGAUCUAACGGCCGCCUAGACUUAUAACUAUGAACAACUUCAAAUGGAUUUAGGCCUAGAGACCGAUUUUCAGAAUUGUUAUAUGCAAUUUGAACAGUUGGAAGGAUCAAAUUCCAAUUUCCAAGAGUUUCUUGCAAAGAACAUGAUUACACAAAUCAUCAAUACCUUUGGAUGGGAUAAGAGUAGGGUACACAACAUUUGACUAAGAGGUAUCGAGAACAAGGGGUACAAUACCUAGACUUAUAAGAAAAGUCCAAAUAUUAUCUAAAGGGGUGUCCUCACUGUCAUCCAAUUCAUCAAAUUCUUCAAGUUUAGGUCUAUAGAUUUGAUUUUCUAAUCACUCAUCUCUCAUUUUCUUU